rnacentral:tRNA from 1 species
GCCGGCGUAGCUCAGCCUGGUAGAGCGGGUGACUCGUAAUCACCAGGUCGAGGGUUCAAAUCCCUCCGCCGGCU